GAACCGCGAAAUGUAAUGUGAAUUGCAUAGUUCGUGAAUCAUCAAAUCUUUGAACGCAUAUUGCACUGUCUGGAAUUCCAGGCAGUAGGUCUGUUUGAGUAUCUGUAUACCAUCAAAGGGUCUUUACGUUAUCAGCAACUCGCAAGGGAAGUUGAUGGCGUGUCGGCACUUUGGACAUGGGCUGUCAGGUGGCAACACCUGUGGUCUUAAAUAUAUAGUGUCUUUGCUUCGGCUUAGACGUUGCCUAUUCCUUUUGGUGUAGGCGCACCUACAUUCACUAUUGAAGAACACCCUUCCUUGAUAGACUAAAGAAUGUGGGUAAGAGUGCUGAUAACCUCGGUUUAACGCCUCACUCAUGAUCUCAAAUCAGACCAGACUACCCGCUGAACUUAA
rnacentral:misc_RNA from 1 species